rnacentral:rRNA from 1 species
AGCGAACGCUGGCGGCAGGCCUAACACAUGCAAGUCGAACGAAGUCUUCGGACUUAGUGGCGGACGGGUGAGUAACACGUGGGAACGUGCCUUUAGGUUCGGAAUAACUCAGGGAAACUUGUGCUAAUACCGAAUGUGCCCUUCGGGGGAAAGAUUUAUCGCCUUUAGAGCGGCCCGCGUCUGAUUAGCUAGUUGGUGAGGUAAAGUCUCACCAAGGCGACGAUCAGUAGCUGGUCUGAGAGGAUGAUCAGCAACAUUGGGACUGAGACACGGCCCAAACUCCUACGGGAGGCAGCAGUGGGGAAUCUUGCGCAAUGGGCGAAAGCCUGACGCAGCCAUGCCGCGUGAAUGAUGAAGGUCUUAGGAUUGUAAAAUCCUUUCACCGGUGAAGAUAAUGACUGUAGCCGGAGAAGAAGCCCCGGCUAACUUCGUGCCAGCCGCCGCCGUAAAAC